GUUUGAGGUAAACGAUGACAAUGUACGAUAAUGAGAUAAAUGUCAAAUGGAGAACUUCUAGUGUCCUGAUUGAUUUCUUAAGAUAGUUAGUAUGAAAAAUAUAUUUCUGGGUGUACCGUUACUCGUUGUUACUCUAGAAAAACGUAAAUGAAAAGGUGACUAAAUAGAUUUUGGUAAAAAAGAGGCCAAAAAUAUGCACAAAUCUUGCGGUUUGCCGUUCGUUUCUUGUUGUUGUUCUUGGUAACAAUGCCCAUGAAAUAGAAUCUCAUCGAGUGAUUUUUAGUCAUAACUGUUAAAGGUAUAUAAAAUAAAAGCAAACAAGAUAUUUGAGUGGAAAAAUAUAUGUGAUAAGAUAAGAACACUUUAUUUUGAUUCGGCAAAGUACAAAUAUGUGAUGUAGACGUAAAUUCGAAUUCGGGGAUACAUAAUUUGUAAUUUGUAUAAAUGUAGGAAGAUGUUGUAUAAGUGCCAAUGAGACAACUCUCCAUCCAAGCAGAUACAUAUAAUAAUAUUGUAUUAUAAUUUAUAUGUCUCGGAUCCAGGUAACACUUUAUUAAAGUAAACCAUUAUACUGUUAUAGGUCGGUCAAGGUAUUGCCUUCAACACGGAGCUAUCACUCACACCUAACAGCAAGCUAUAAAAUUAAAGGCCCCAAAAAAUUAUUAGUGUAAAACCGUUCAAGAGGGAAAACCAAAGUUCUAAUCUAUAUAAAAUUCUUUAAUUCAUUUUCCUCUGGGCUGUUGAAACCCCCACCCACUUCCACUGUUGUGAAAAGUUCUUGAUCUGCCAUUGGUCAUAUGCUCAGUUUUCAACUAUUGUUAGCCAUGCUUUGGAAAUAUGAAAUGAUCAUCCCCCUACACUUCUAUUAAAACAAACAAGAUUUGUUUGCUUCAACCAAAGAUGUCAAAUAUUAAACAUAUACAUAAAAAUGUUCCCAUACCUAAUAACUCAUAUUCUAUCAACAUGUAUAUAAAGACUAAAGUUAUUUUAAAACACUGAAAUCUUGAAACUAUCCCUUUGGUAUCUUUCGUCCCUCUUCUAUAACAUUACACAAAAAUUGACUUUCAAUAAGGGUGAUACUGUACAUUUAAUUCCUGUGCCUGAGGCAGAUGUGAAGAUUUGUUCACCCAAGAAUAUUAAUAUUUCACGAUAGCUCUGCCGGAGGGAAAUAUUAUUUUUUAAGGGUGAAUACAUCUUCAUAUCUCCCGAGGCCAAGGGAAAUAAAUGUUUUAUUCCACUGAUCAUGCUAAAUGCUUACUAUCUGAACUUCAUAUCCAAUUUUCACGCUUAACAAAAUUUAUUUGAUCCCGGGUCAUGUUGAAACCUCAAUGAGACCCACUCUACAUGAUAUUUACCUGGUUACUAUUUGCUUCAUCCCUUUCAGAUGUCAAAUGCAAGUGAUUCAGGUUCAGAAGAUGCAGAGUGCUUCCUGUCUGUUCAAGAACUUAAAAGUUGGAAGGUAACAGAUCUGAGAGAAUGGCUUCGAGCAAAAAUUUGAAAAUUAGUGGAACCAAGGAGGCUCUUGUAAACAGGG
rnacentral:lncRNA from 1 species